UCUAGCUUCUUUAAUUUCUUUCUCUCUUUUUGUAUCAACCGAAGAAGCUCGUGUAUUAGACCCAUAGCUUUGUUAAUUAUUUUUCUUCAAAGCAUCACCCACAGGCCAAAAGACCAACGGUAAAGAAGCCGAGUCGAAUCCUAAAAUAUCGUAUAUUACUCCUCCAUUCCAAAUUAGAUGAACUCGUUGACUUCGGGCACGCACUUUAAAAUUUAUUGACCGC
rnacentral:lncRNA from 1 species